CCAAGCAGUUCGCACCAGGUACCUACCUGAAAUAGUGAAAUUUCUUUACUGUCUGAUGAUAAAGUUAAAGAGCAAAUAAAUCAAAAGAACAAUAGCGGGUACAGGAUGCAAUGUGGUUAUCCUUUCAUCGAAAGAUGCUUAAAUGAUCAGUCUUUGCUUGUUUAUGGACAGAAAGUGAUCAAUCAGUGUAAUUGCAUAAGUCCCACGAUCAAAUCUUGAAAAAUGCUUGUUGAGUUGCUCUGUAAACGCGUUCUCCUUUCUGUUUCAUGAUUUUGGUGUCAGACUCAGUUGACUUGAUUUCGAGAUUUCGCGUUAGCUUAUCGUUGAGCUGUGCGUACAAAGGGUAUCUAUCUAUCAGAUCAUUGAGCUACCGGCCAAAAGGUUGACAUUAUCAGUAGUUCUUCUCUUUGUUUCUAUUUCACCAUCUCAAUUGAUGAUUCCAGUGUCGCUCUAAUUCCAUUGCUUGUUUUACUGCAUCGUCAUACUUUAGCAAAAUCGAACCCAUCAUAUUUGGAUACUAAUCUUCUGUUGUAAGCUGUGGAAAAUAUUUUAUUUCGGUAUUCGUAUUUCUUUCUCAACUAUCUGGAGUACUUGAUCCAUCAUUCUACCUCUCUUUCUUUUCUCUUUUCUGUAGGGUGCAAUAGUAAACGUAAAGGAGUUUGCUUGUGCAAUUCACUUGCAAUGAUUGUGAUGAAACACCACCAAGGCUUCUCAAUCGCUUGGCUUAUGAGCUGGGCCUUGUCUAUGUACAGGUACUUGAAACUGGUCUGACUUUCGAAUGGACUUCAAUGAGUAGGCUGACAGCAAAAUUCUAGGCAUAUAUUGACAGAAGUGUUCAUUAAGGCAUUUUAAUUAUAAAGUCCCGGACUUUCUGUCUUAGCUGGUUUCUGCUAAUCCACUGAACCUCUUUGACAGACAUUGUCAAAUGACACAGUUUGAUUUCUUUCGUUCAAUGCACAAGAAUUGUCACGAUUAUAAAGUGAGGGAAGAGAUUAAGAUCGAACAAAAUAUAGAUGAAGUUUAAUAACCAAAGAUAGCUUAGUAAGUUCAUCACUCUUCUCAAGUUUAUAAUGUAAAUACACAUUAAUUUGCCCACUGGCAGUUGAAGAAUUAAACAAUACAAAAAUGGGGAUACUAGGACAGUUUCAAGGCUGUGCUGUCACAUUACAUUUCCUUUCUCCACGAGAUCUUAUUUUGUAUGCACAAUACGAUUUGCUUUGAAUCAUAGGAAUGAAUCCACAUUGAUUAGCUGCCUAGCCUGUGACAGUCAGCAUAAUUGCAGUGGCUACUGCAGUCCAUACCCACAUAGAUGAUGUCAUCCCUCUCCGCUGAUACUUUGAAUCUUGCCCAUUCUGCAUGCACAAUAUGAGUUGAUCAGUCAAUUUGGAGUAACUUGAUAUUUCAAGAGUACUUUUCUGUCCAUACUUUUGAAAAAGAAAAACAUAUACCGUAUCAGGUGAUGGUGCAGGAGCCGUGUCAUCAUCAGAAGAAGUUACUACAGGUGGGGACGGUGGGCUAGGAGGUUUCGGCGCUGGAGCUGGGGCAUGAUGAUGAUGCCUCUUGUGCUUGUGGGAUCUCUUUUUCUUGUGCUUGGAUGGAGCAGGAGCAGGUACAAGCACUAAUGGAGUUGGCGCUGGAGGUGGAAUAGCCGGUGCAGGCACUGGCGCUGGAGGGGGCACAAGUGGUGCUGGUGCAGGCGCUGGAGGGGGCACAAGUGGUGCUGGUGCAGGUACUGCAGGAGGUAAAGCCGGUGGUGGCGUUGCAGGAGCUGGAGGUAAAGCAGGUGGUGGUGUUGCUGGGGCAAAUACAGGCGAUAGAGUAGGAGGAGGAGUUUGUGGUGGUGGAGCAAUUGGACUGGAAACCGGUGCUACCUUUGGAGAUGGUGGGGAGGAUGUAGGAGUGUUUGCCGGGAUCGGUGAUGCAGCUGGGGUUAUCGCCACUGGAGAAGGAGUAGUUGUGGUUGGUGGAGGAACGGUAGGCAAGGUAGAGGGUGAUGCUGCUGGUGAUUGGCCAUUGACAGCAGUGGCUAAGUGCAAACUUACCAUGCAACCCAAGAUGAAAACCUUGAGAAUGGAAGAAGCCAUGUUGCUGUGAAUGUGUAGUAAAUGAUAGAACUCACCAAUGGUGGGGUUAUAUAAUAUUGAGAAGGGACUGUUAAGAAGCUUUGGGGAGAAGGGAAAAGAAUGUUUGGUGAAACGUGGAGGGAGGGAAAGAUGUAAUCUUC
rnacentral:lncRNA from 1 species